rnacentral:rRNA from 1 species
GACGAACGCUGGCGGCGUGCUUAACACAUGCAAGUCGAACGGUAAGGCCUCUUCGGGGGUACACGAGUGGCGAACGGGUGAGUAACACGUGAGUAACCUGCCCUUGACUUUGGGAUAACAUCUGGAAACAGGUGCUAAUACCGGAUAUGAGCUCUCUCUGCAUGGGGAGGGUUGGAAAGCUCCGGCGGUCAUGGAUGGACUCGCGGCCUAUCAGCUUGUUGGUGAGGUAGUGGCUCACCAAGGCUCCGACGGGUAGCCGGCCGGAGAGGGCGACCGGCCGAAUUGGGACUGGGAUACGGCCCAAACUCCGACGGGAGGCAGCAGUGGGGAAUAUUGCACCAUGGGCGGAAGCCUGAUGCAGCAACGCCGCGUGCGGGAUGACGGCCUUCGGGUUGUAAACCGCUUUCAGCAGGGACGAAGCUAACGUGACGGUACCUGCAGAAGAAGCACCGGCUAACUACGUGCCAGCCGCCGCAGUAACAC